rnacentral:lncRNA from 1 species
GUGUGUGCAGAGACGGGUGUGUGUGGACACGCAUGUGCAGAGACGGGUGCGUGUGAACACGUGUGUGUGCAGAUGGGUGCGCAUGACUCCACGCGUGUGUGCAGAGACGGAUGUGUGUGGACACGCGUGUGUGCAGAGACGGGUGUGUGUGGACACGCAUGUGCAGAGACGGGUGUGUGUGGACACUUUGUGCAGAGACGGGUGCGCGUGACUCCAUGCGUGUGUGCAGAGACGGGUGCGUGUGGACACGCGGGUGUGCAGAGACGGGUGCGUGUGGACACGUGCGUGUGUAGAGACGUGUGCGUGUGGACGUGCGUGUGCAGAGACGGGUGUGUGGACACUUGUGUGUGCAGAGACGGGUGCGCGUGACUCCAUGCAUGUGUGCAGAGACGGGUGCAUGUGGACACGCGUGUGUGCAGAGAUGGAUGUGUGUGGACACGCAUGUGCAGAGACGGGUGCGUGUGGACACGUGUGUGUGCAGAGAUGGGUGCGCAUGACUCCACGCGUGUGUGCAGAGACGGGUGCGCGUGAUUCCACGCAUGUGUGUGCAGAGACGGGUGCGUGUGGACACAGAUAGGAGCGUGUGGACAUGUGUGUGUGCAGAGAGGGGUGCGUGUGGACACGUGUGUGUGCAGAGACGGGAGCGCGUGGACAUGCGUGUGCAGAGACGGGAAUGUGUGGACACUCGUGUGCAGACAGGUGUGUGUGGACACGCGUGUGUGAGGAGACGGGUGCGCGUGACUCCACGCAUGUGUGCAGAGGGGUGCGUGUGGACACACGUGUGUGCAGAGACGGGUGCGCGUCACUCCAUGCGUGUGUGCAGAGACGGGUGCGCGACUCCAUGCGUGUGUGCAGAAACGGGUGCAUGUGGACACGUGUGUGUGCAGAGAAGGGUGCACGUGACUCAC